GAUGAACGCUGGCGGCGUGCCUAAUACAUGCAAGUCGAGCGAAUGGAUUAAGAGCUUGCUCUUAUGAAGUUAGCGGCGGACGGGUGAGUAACACGUGGGUAACCUGCCCAUAAGACUGGGAUAACUCCGGGAAACCGGGGCUAAUACCGGAUAACAUUUUGAACCGCAUGGUUCGAAAUUGAAAGGCGGCUUCGGCUGUCACUUAUGGAUGGACCCGCGUCGCAUUAGCUAGUUGGUGAGGUAACGGCUCACCAAGGCAACGAUGCGUAGCCGUACUGGGAGGGUUAUCGGCCACACUGGGACUGAGACACGGCCCAGACGCCUACGGGAGGCAGCAGUAGGGAAUCUUCCGCAAUGGACGAAAGUCCGACGGAGCAACGCCGCGUGAGUGAUGAAGGCUUUCGGGUCGUAAAAUUCUGUUGUUAGGGAAGAACAAGUGCUAGUUGAAUAAGCUGGCACCUUGACGGUACCUAACCAGAAAGCCACGGCUAACUACGUGCCAGCCGCCGCCGUAA
rnacentral:rRNA from 1 species